AGUACGAUCUGGCUCUGCAUUUGUGUUGUAAACCAGGCCUGUGUUCCUACCUGUAUGACAUUAUAAAGAAUGACUAAGCUUUAAUUAUUCUGGGAAAUGAAGUGGAUAUAAAACAAAAGUGAAAUGCUUAAGGGCAUUUCGUUUUAAUAGAAAAAGUAUAAGGAAGUUACAGGAAAUUUGGUGAAACGUACACAAGGACUUCCCAGCAAGUUUUUGUCCUCUGCAAAAUCUUCUGAGUGGAGACAAUGAUUAACUAUACUAUCAUACAGAUAUUCUAUUGCCUUAUUUUCCAAAAGUUGCAGUUUCCUUAAAAAAUAAUAAGAAAAAUUAUUUUCUGGAAUACUUUUAAAAGACAUUGGAAAUCCCAAACCAGUUCUCAACAUUUUGAAAUAUGGUUUUAGUUUUCAUCUUGCCUAAGUUCUUAAUUUGGUUCCUUAAAACCUGAUAUAAUAGCAUAUUGAGCAACAUUUUCCUCAAUCAGCUAAACAAAAAUGCAGCUUGUUUAAUAUAUGAUUAAGAAUGCUUCCAUCUCCUCUCUCUAAAGACCAUAAUUAACUAAUAUACAUAUGACUUCAUUACUUUGUCUUCUCUUUAUGCCGCCUGGACAAUACAAAGAGAAUCCAGCAUCAACAUUACAUCUCUAGACUGAGACCAAACCGUUGCCACCCCAUUACUCACACACAUGCACUCACUACCAAGCCUCAGGCGUGAAGGAUUGAACUUUGGGAAAAUGCAACACCCAGGACUCCAUUACGACUUGUCUCUUCAAUUCAAGGGAGUCUCCCCACUUGCCUAGAUAUCAGCAUUUCUUCAUCCAAAAGCUUCAAGAUAUGGCAGUAGAACAAGUCAGUAACCCAGGCACAUUGGGCACAGCUGUCUCUAUUUUCCCCCAGACAAGGUACUGGGGAACAGAAAUGUCCUAAAAUGCUGAACAGUAUGUAUGUCUGACCUCUGACUCAUUCCAUUCAGUUGUCCUAACUUACCAAGAAAAGCUGAAAAUACAUUUGUCCUCCAGGUCUCCAUCCCUCUGUGCCUCUCCAGGAUGGUUUCAUCACUUUUUUUAACUCACUGGCAUAAGUUUUUGGAGUCUUACUGAAAUUAAAAGAGCUCUGUAGAUGUGCAGGUGUAUACCAACACAGAAUUUAUUACCUGCUAGCUAUCUAAAGUGAUUAAUAUAAU